rnacentral:rRNA from 1 species
UACGAAGGGGGCUAGCGUUGCUCGGAAUGACUGGGCGUAAAGGGCGCGUAGGCGGCCACCGCAAGUCGACUGUGAAAUCUCUGGGCUUAACCCAGAACGGUCAGCCGAUACUGCGGGGCUAGAGUGCAGAAGGGGCAACUGGAAUUCUCGGUGUAGCGGUGAAAUGCGUAGAUAUCGAGAGGAACACCUGCGGCGAAGGCAGGUCUCUGGGCCACUACUGACGCUGAGAAGCGAAAGCAUGGGGAGCGAACAGG